rnacentral:rRNA from 1 species
CCUACGGGAGGCAGCAGUGGGGAAUAUUGGGCAAUGGGCGCAAGCCUGACCCAGCAACGCCGCGUGAGGGAAGAAGGCUUUCGGGUUUUAAACUUCUUUUCUGAGGGACGAAGAAAGUGACGGUACCUCAGGAAUAAGCCACGGCUAACUACGUGCCAGCAGCCGCUGUGAUACGUAGGUGGCGAGCGUUAUCCGGAUUUAUUGGGUGUAAGGGGGGUGUAGGCGGGAAAGCAAGUCAGAUGUGAAAACUCAGGGCUUAACCCUGUGCCUGCAUUUGAAACUGUUUGUCUUGAGUUCUGGAGAGGCAAUCGGAAUUCGGGGUGUAGCGGUGAAAUGCGUAGAUAGACGGAGGAACACCAGUGGCGAAGGCGGAUUGCUGGACACUAACUGACGCUGAGGCGCGAAAGCGUGGGGAGCAAACAGGAUUAGAUACCCGAGUAGUC